rnacentral:rRNA from 1 species
UGCAAGUCGAGCGGUAGCACAGAGAGCUUGCUCUCGGGUGACGAGCGGCGGACGGGUGAGUAAUGUCUGGGAAACUGCCUGAUGGAGGGGGAUAACUACUGGAAACGGUAGCUAAUACCGCAUAAUGUCGCAAGACCAAAGUGGGGGACCUUCGGGCCUCAUGCCAUCAGAUGUGCCCAGAUGGGAUUAGCUAGUAGGUGGGGUAACGGCUCACCUAGGCGACGAUCCCUAGCUGGUCUGAGAGGAUGACCAGCCACACUGGAACUGAGACACGGUCCAGACUCCUACGGGAGGCAGCAGUGGGGAAUAUUGCACAAUGGGCGCAAGCCUGAUGCAGCCAUGCCGCGUGUAUGAAGAAGGCCUUCGGGUUGUAAAGUACUUUCAGCGGGGAGGAAGGCGAUGAGGUUAAUAACCUUGUCGAUUGACGUUACCCGCAGAAGAAGCACCGGCUAACUCCGUGCCAGCAGCCGCGGUAAUACGGAGGGUGCAAGCGUUAAUCGGAAUUACUGGGCGUAAAGCGCACGCAGGCGGUCUGUCAAGUCGGAUGUGAAAUCCCCGGGCUCAACCUGGGAACUGCAUUCGAAACUGGCAGGCUAGAGUCUUGUAGAGGGGGGUAGAAUUCCAGGUGUAGCGGUGAAAUGCGUAGAGAUCUGGAGGAAUACCGGUGGCGAAGGCGGCCCCCUGGACAAAGACUGACGCUCAGGUGCGAAAGCGUGGGGAGCAAACAGGAUUAGAUACCCUGGUAGUCCACGCCGUAAACGAUGUCGAUUUGGAGGUUGUGCCCUUGAGGCGUGGCUUCCGGAGCUAACGCGUUAAAUCGACCGCCUGGGGAGUACGGCCGCAAGGUUAAAACUCAAAUGAAUUGACGGGGGCCCGCACAAGCGGUGGAGCAUGUGGUUUAAUUCGAUGCAACGCGAAGAACCUUACCUGGUCUUGACAUCCACAGAACUUAGCAGAGAUGCUUUGGUGCCUUCGGGAACUGUGAGACAGGUGCUGCAUGGCUGUCGUCAGCUCGUGUUGUGAAAUGUUGGGUUAAGUCCCGCAACGAGCGCAACCCUUAUCCUUUGUUGCCAGCGGUUAGGCCGGGAACUCAAAGGAGACUGCCAGUGAUAAACUGGAGGAAGGUGGGGAUGACGUCAAGUCAUCAUGGCCCUUACGACCAGGGCUACACACGUGCUACAACUGGCAUAUACAAAGAGAAGCGACCUCGCGAGAGCAAGCGGACCUCAUAAAGUAUGUCGUAGUCCGGAUUGGAGUCUGCAACUCGACUCCAUGAAGUCGGAAUCGCUAGUAAUCGUAGAUCAGAAUGCUACGGUGAAUACGUUCCCGGGCCUUGUACACACCGCCCGUCACACCAUGGGAGUGGGUUGCAAAAGAAGUAGGUAGCUUAACCUUCGGGAGGGCGCUUAC